rnacentral:rRNA from 1 species
GGGCAGCAGUGGGGAAUUUUGGACAAUGGGCGCAAGCCUGAUCCAGCCAUUCCGCGUGAGUGAAGAAGGCCUUCGGGUUGUAAAGCUCUUUCGCAAGGGAAGAAAACUUACACAAUAACACUGUGUGAGGCUGACGGUACCUUGAUAAGAAGCACCGGCUAACUACGUGCCAGCAGCCGCGGUAAUACGUAGGGUGCGAGCGUUAAUCGGAAUUACUGGGCGUAAAGCGUGCGCAGGCGGUUUUGUAAGUCAGAUGUGAAAUCCCCGAGCUCAACUUGGGAACUGCGUUUGAAACUACAAGACUAGAAUAUGUCAGAGGGGGGUAGAAUUCCACGUGUAGCAGUGAAAUGCGUAGAGAUGUGGAGGAAUACCAAUGGCGAAGGCAGCCCCCUGGGAUAAUAUUGACGCUCAUGCACGAAAGCGUGGGGAGCAAACAGGAUUAGAUACCCGAGUAGUC